AAGGUCAAUGUUCGCCCGCUUUCCGGCAGACAUCGUCCCGACAAUCAAAGGAAAGAUAAACAUGUAGAAAGCGUUCGGGUUACUUGUUUGGACGCGGGUUCGACUCCCGCCAUCUCCACAU
rnacentral:tmRNA from 1 species